AGACCUGUCAAAGAAACUGUGGAGCUGAAAUUUGAACGUCUUUGUGCUGAUAUAGAAAUACUGGAGAAAAACAAAUGUGAACUUAGUUCACAGCACAAGUGGUCUGCUUUGAAAGACCUGGAGAAGGAAGAUAUGUUGAUUUUUAACACCUGAAAUAGUAUUCCUGACUCAUACAAUCAACUGAAGAAAACUAGCAUUUGCUGUUCUUUCCUUAUUCAGGUCUACAUAUUUAUGCGAACAAUCAUUUUCAAACAUGAACCUUAUCAAGAG